AUGCACGCUGGCGGCGUGCCUAAUCCAUGCAAGUCGCGCGAACAGACGAGGAGCUUGCUCCUCUGACGUUAGCGGCGGACGGGUGAGUAACACGUGGAUAACCUACCUAUAAGACUGGGAUAACUUCGGGAAACCGGAGCUAAUACCGGAUAAUAUAUUGAACCGCCUGGUUCAAUAGUGAAAGACGGUUUUGCUGUCACUUAUAGAUGGAUCCGCCGCAUUAGCUAGUUGGUAAGGUAACGGCUUACCAAGGCAACGAUGCGUAGCCGACCUGAGAGGGUGAUCGGCCACACUGGAACUGAGACACGGUCCAGACUCCUACGGGAGGCAGCAGUAGGGAAUCUUCCGCAAUGGGCGAAAGCCUGACGGAGCAACGCCGCGUGAGUGAUGAAGGUCUUCGGAUCGUAAAACUCUGUUAUUAGGGAAGAACAAAUGUGUAAGUAACUAUGCACGUCUUGACGGUACCUAAUCAGAAAGCCACGGCUAACUACGUG
rnacentral:rRNA from 1 species